rnacentral:misc_RNA from 1 species
GAUGAAGAACGCAGCAAAAUGCGAUAAGUAAUGUGAAUUGCAGAAUUCAGUGAAUCAUCGAAUCUUUGAACGCACAUUGCGCCCGCCAGUAUUCUGGCGGGCAUGCCUGUUCGAGCGUCAUUUCAACCCUCAAGCACAGCUUGGUGUUGGGACUCGCGUUAAUUCGCGUUCCCCAAAUUGAUUGGCGGUCACGUCGAGCUUCCAUAGCGUAGUAGUAAAACCCUCGUUACUGGUAAUCGUCGCGGCCACGCCGUUAAAACCCAACUUCUGAAUGUUGACCUCGGAUCAGGUAGGAAUACCCGCUGAACUUAAGCAUAUCAAUAAGCGGAGGA